UCUCCCUUCCUCCCGCGCGCCUCCUCUCCUCCCACCCACAUCGCCGCCGCCGCCGCCCACCUCCUCGAACCGCGAUGAGCAGACGCGGGGGGAGGACGAGGAGCACGACGGCGGCCCUCCUCCCCCUCGUGCCACGACCGCUCCAUCUCCUUGAGCUCCCCCUUCCCCUUCCUCACCCCAUCACCUUUGCCGGUGGAUCCCGGCGAGGAGGAGCAGCCAAUUUCUGCCGGUGCCUCCCCCCAAUCCGCAGCACGACCGCCAGAGCCCACGUUUCUGGUGAGGUGAGCCACGGCGGCCACGCGCCUGCGCCGGCGCCCGCGGCUGACACGUCCCCGGGCAUCUCCUCCGCGUCUCUGGAUCCGGCCGCCGUCGCCGCCUCUCUUCUUGCCCCGCCGUCGCUCCUCAGGUGCUGCUCGCCUCAUCCCCCUCGCGCCGGCCCUGGCCCUGGCCCCGGCACUGGCGCCGUCGAAGGCCGCGUCGAGCGCCCGCAUCGCCCGCCCGUGCACCCGAACCCGACACGACUCAGGGCGCGCCCCAACUCCCGGCGCUGGCCGCCUCUGUCGCCUGCGUCGCCAUCUUCCUCAUCACCAAGUUCGUUAACGACUGCCCCAACCAUAGCGCCGACAACUGCUCCGUGGGGUUCCUUCCAGCCGCUCAAGGAGAACCAGCUCCUCGGCCCAUCCUCCACCACGUACGCAAGCUGCUAGCCUCCUCCUUCCCUUUUUUCUCCCUCCUUUGUUUGCUUCCUCGCAUGUGCAUUUCCUUGCUUAGAGGAGGACAGUCACAGUGAGUCCAGUUCAAGAUUGACAAGAUAUAAUUCCCCCGUUCCCUUUCUUACUGACCAGUAAAAUUGCAAACAGUAGCCCCAACUCGAUCUACUCAAAGAUAUACUGUACUAUUAUUUUUUGCUCUUGGCAUGUUUAUUUUUCUCUCCUCACGCCUUGGUAAUUCCCUAUUUGGAAUGUAAAGACAGUGGGGGACCAUCACUAAGAGAUAACAUCUCUCCCUUUUAACAUCUGAAGCAUGACAUUUUAUCCAUUUAGACCUUGUGUGUUCACUCUUGAGAUAUUGAGAUUGAUCCUCAAUUAGGUUGGGGCACAGGUUCAUUGUCAGGUUGCUUUCUUCUGCAAUAGGGAGACCAUCAGACCCCUGCAUUCUAUUUUGCAAUUGCAAUUGUAAGAAUUAGUGAUGCUUCCGUUUGAGACAUGGUGAUUCUUUUUUUCUGGGUUUGUGGAUGAAGGAAUUUUGUCAGCUAGCAAUCUAAAAUUUGAGGGAAACUUGUAUAAGGCACACUAACAUUCAGAGUUUCAGACCAUCUAAAAUUUGGUCUCGAUCCUUAGGUGUGAGCUCCGUAGGCUGAUCUUUCAAUGGGUCUAAUCAAGUUUAGGAUUCUAUUUUUUCUCUCAUCAAUUAAAAUUAAAGCCUCCUUACUGAGUUCGUAAUUAAGUUGUAUUCUGAGACUGAUUAUUAAGUCCCUUUCCAUUAGGGACAGGUGUUGUACUUGUAUUCUUUGCCGGCUGUUAAAAUAUCAUAAACAAUUUGGAAAACAUAUAUCCUGAAUGGAUGCAUGUGUCAUCAACUCCAUUUGUUAUUUUGAGGAAGAGUUCAAUUCAUGCUUGUUUUUGCUAUCUAAUUUAGGUUCUUACAUGCAUGGAAGAGAUACUUUUUUGUUCUCUGCAUUCUUUGUACUUCUUUCAUUUUGUCGUCUCUACCAAUAGUUUGAUUCAGAAAAGUUUGUCCUUCGCUAGAGAAUAAAUAUAGGUGAGGAUAGCAAGGCAAUUCUGAUUACAUUCACAACUAAUACCUUCCUUAAGUAUUAUUACAACUUAUAAUCAGCAUGAUUCAGAUUUUCUAUUUUGUUUACUCCUAUAGGCUUUGGUUUUCUUUCACUUUGUUGGGAUGGGUUACAUAAGCCAUGGUUAUCAGAGCUUUGGAUAAUCUGUCUUUGAUUCAUUUUUCUUUUCAGAGCUUUGCUAUUGAUAAUGCACACCAUGGUUUUAUUAUUAUUAUGAGAAAUCAAGGACUGUUGAAAAGAAAUCUUUGGCUGGUUGUCGCUGAAUUUCUCAGUAAGCCGAGGAUGAUCUGGACAAUUCAGUAGAAGCCGAGAACCUGGGAUUUUGAUGAAGAUACAGGCGAUGUAACCUGGGAUUUCUGUAGUGUUAUUCAAGAAGCCGAGAACCUUGACCACCUAUCUAUGAUGGCAAUUGAUGUGGUCUAGAACUUAGACAUCUAUCCAUAUGAUGUAGAGUCAGACUGCUCUAAGUAUGAUGAAUUCCCUACCUACUGCCCAUCUAAUUCUACCAAAGAUGACUAUGGUGCGAGCCGCUUCGAUGACGAAGACUGCUCUACGACGAAAAUGCUUGAUGAAUCAGUCACAAGAAGAAAAUGAGGCGCUUUUGGUUUAUCACCAGGCUCUCUGAGUUGGUGCAAAUAUGCAUCUGUUCUGCCCCUAUCCCGUUGUAGGAUUUACUAAUGGAUGUUAGACCAACAUUCUCCCCUCAAUUGUUUUUAUGACUGAUCCUUUCUGGUGUCAUCUGAUGAUUUCUUACUCUCCUCUUGGAACAGAUAAAUGUAAUCAAUUGCAAAGCUAGAAAGUAUUCAUUAAGCACUGAAAACUUAUACCUUUUGUUUCAGAGAAUAAUUGAGUAUGAAGCAACCAAGGUGAUGCUGGCCCUAAGCAUCAAUCCGUGUGUUCCGACUCUAUGAGUUUACAUACGGCUACAUGCAAGCCAAGAUGAGUGCUCUACGCUUACGGCUCAUGCUAACUGAACUGGUGAUGUUUCUUUCUUCACCUCGAUUGACGCCACAUGUCCCCCCUGGGUUAAGGUUGGCCCUUGGUCUCAGGUUGCCACGUCGUCCUCGUCUUCGGCUUGCAAGGGACUGGAUCUGGUGUGAUUGAUUCUUCCUCUCGCAAGGUUAUGAUGGCCGACAAACAGCUCCAAGUUCACGGGUCGCCAGGCUCGCCGAGUGACGCUGGCUCCAACGGUGGUCUGUGAGCACUUGCCCAGGUCAAUUGAUAUUUGUGGUGGCCCUUCUCUGUUUUUACUUGGAAAAAUUUAGUCCGUAUGUGCCUCAGUGAAUUUUAAAAUCAAAGGAAAUGCUCUGUGCAGAAAAAAUACAUAUCUAAUCUAGGGGGUAUAUGUAAUAGCGGUAGAUAAAUAAUAAUGUUUAGAUUCAGGCAGUAUACUACAAUCUGCCUUCUGGAGAGGGGCCUAUGCUUGCUAAGUUCUUUGUACGGUGCCUUCAGGGAGGCUGUGUGGUGCCGACCGGAUGUACGGCGAGGUCUUCAUAAUGGCAUCAAGUCACCCUUGCCAUAUGGAUCAUAUGUAAGCUCUUCCUGCUAACCUACAGGAGUACAUUUUGAUGCUUCAAGUCUGAACCUAUGUAACUUGUGAACUAAUGCCUCCCUGAGUGUGUGUGUGUGCACGUGCGCUAUGUUAAAUCAAACUUCUUCAGACUACUGUGAAGUAAUGCCACUUGUCAUAUUGACCAAAUUUCAUUGCUUGAUGGCCAUUUAGAGAGGCCAUUUAGAGUUGUCAAAAAUCUGGGACUGUGAAGUCUAUUUACACUGUCAAAAAUCUUGGACUGUUUUCAGAGUUGCUACAACAAUGGAUUUUUCAGUUUGAGAAAACAGUUUAAACUGAAAAUCUGGGACUUCACAUUUGCUACAACAGAGUUGUCAAAAAUUCAGUUUACACUGUUAGUUUGACAAAAACUGUCCAAACUGAAAAUUCAGUUAUAAUGGUGUAGGCAUUGUUAAUCUUUGGGGAUAAUUGUAGAUGUUGUGAAGUGAUUUAGAUGUCUGCUUUGCUGUGCAUACUGGCAUCAAAUAAUUCCAACUUAAUUCAAUAGAGAAUUGGUAACUCAUGUAUGUUGGCAUCAAAUUAUUGCCAGUAAUACAUUUAUUGGCAAUCAGUACAUGAUCAAUGACUGAAUUAAGUUGUAAUCCUUUUGCUGAAUUGGCCCCUGUAUUACUGUAGUAAGCUGCUUUGGAACGUUGUAAUCCUUUUGCUGUAUGGCAGAUUUCUAUUGGCUGCAAUACGGUAGUAGGUAAAGAAGUAGGUUUUUGCCUUGAAGUUAUAUUAUCUAUUUACAAGUCUCUCAUGAAGGAGUACCACUC